rnacentral:misc_RNA from 1 species
UGUGAAAAUCUCUAACUUGUUUGAGUACUCUCCUCACAGGUGCUGAUUUUCAAACAUCGAUAACUGCUUUCAUUUCCACAGAAGAUACUGAUAGCUAUGUUACACAUUAUCUGUACAACUUUAAAGUUCAGGAGUGGAAAAGUGUGUUUGAGUGAAUUUGUGUUGUGGUUUCAUAUACCUUACAUAAACGUGCUUUUGUUGGUAUUUUGGAAUAUAGAUUUAUGUUAGACCAGGGAAUAAAAUUAUGUUUUCCCAGAUGUAUCUGCCGUGCUAUUAAAUGGUCUAGCCGACCUUGUAUAGAGCUUGGCGUAAUCUAACAUUGGAGUUAUUUAAAGGUCGCGAUAUAUUGGGCAGCGCAGAAAAUCACUGUCUCUACGAGAUGUUUCUCUAAUUCAGAUUAUGUUAGAACGCAUCCGUUGAUCAGCCGAUAAAUGAAAAAAUAAGACAGAAUUCGUUUCAGUGGAUUGUUGAUAUGCUUUUGAUAAUCUGUUCUACUGUGGAGUAAAUUAAAUGUCGAUUUGUUGCUUGACGUAGAGAUUUAUAUUUUUUCUUCUGUCAUGGAAAUCAGGUGGAAAGUAAGUAUAAAGAACAUAGUAACUUGUAAAACAAUGUGACAAUUUUUACGUACCAGCAUAAAACAACUGUAUCAUUUUGCAUAUUUCAGAUAUAUUGAAAAUUUUAAACUAUUAACUUUGUUAAAUAUUAUUCGAAAUUCAGUGGUACUGCAGAGAUCUUUUAUCGGUUCUAAAUCAGCUGUAAUCACAUAACGGUUGCAUAACCAUAGUUUAGAAAUGCCUUCGCACAUCUAAAUAAGUAUUAAACAAUAACAAAGAAAUCAAACGUUAAAAUUUUACGCGCUUAUUCAUCAGCAUUAUUCAAGACUGCCAGAAUAAUUACCAGAACGAAAUGAUUUUUUAUAAAAUUCUGUUCAGUAUCCUUUGUUUAGAAAAUUAGCCAAAGCAUAGCAUAGAAAGUAUGAAUACAUCACGAACUCACACAUUAACGAAUGGAAACAACACUGAACUUGAGCCUGGGUUCUGUGGCGACUGGCUGGAUGCACAGCAUGCACUAUUUCAGUUAGCUAAUUUGUGCAUGCUGAUAUCUUUCCUUACACCUACAAACUUCAAAUACCACUGUUUCUUUCUUCGCAUCAUGCUCAAUUUCGGAUUUCUACUCAGUGUCAUAUGGGGCGCCGUCUUCGUCUGUAUGACAGAUAUUGUGAUAUGGAACGCCAUCUUUCUUUGCGUCAACUCUGUACAUCUUGUGUACCUUGGAUAUAAGGUUGUGCCAGAACGAUUUCCAAAAGCAUUAGAAGACGUAUAUUCACAUACCUUUAAGCCAUUAAAAGUGACAAGAAAACAAUUUAAAGAAAUCACUGACUUUGGGAGUAUGCAAGUAUUAGGAAAAGGUGCUGUAUAUGCUAAACAGGAUCAGACCAAAACAGGACAGAAACUUUCCAUAUUAUUAAAAGGCAGAUUGAAAGUAACGUAUGACGAUUGUUUCCUACAUUCCAUUGAGCUUAACCAUUUUGUGGAUUCUCCAGAAUUUGAUAAUUCCAGCGUGUCGUGUACUGAAGAUACAUUUAAGGUUUCCGUAAGUGUGGUUGAAGACAGUUUGAUAUUUACCUGGCCACAGGAUCAGCUGAUCAACUAUUUGUCCCAUGACCCAAUUUUAAGACACAUUUUUAGACAACUGAUCGGAAAGGACAUAAGUCACAAACUUUAUGAGAUACAGGAGAGGCUAAUGGCCAACCCAAGUUACAUGGACGGCAUAAAUACACGGCGUUCAUCUAUGGUAAAUGUUCGUCACGGCAUUGUAUCGAAUUCAACGUCGAAUCUUGCCAAAUUAAACUGCCUGCAAGGUCAGUUAAGCUAGUAGUCUAAGGACAAAAUGGAAAUACAACACGCAUUUCUCGUUGUGCUGUGGAUGUGGUGUAUAAUUGUACAAAUUAAGGAACUAAGAAUGACCAGGACCUGUUUCACGAAGCCCAUUUAUGAUUAUGCUCUUAUGCUGCGUUGUAAACAACGAACACCACAGCAACAUGUCUUCAAAUGGAACAUAUGAGACAAGCGUAUGAUCAAAGACAAUUUUAAAUGAUAAAAACAAAUAAGAAAUCAUGAAUCUGUAUUAAUUUUCUUUAUUUGGACAAAAUUUUUACGGUUUAGAAAACAGCAAUGACAGUCAUAUGACUUGCCGUUGUACACCAAAUUACAAUGUUAAACAAUUUGUUUCUAGCGUAUGUUCAAAAAUGUAACAGUUUUCUGCAUUCUUAAAACUGAUAAAAAUCUAAUAUUUAUAUAUAUGAUGAUAUGUAUUAAACUUAAAAUGACUUUGAUAAAAGAAAACAAAACAACCCUGAAAUUAAACUCACAGACAAACUCACAAGUUGACUAUAUAUUAACUAUUAACAGUAAUGAAAGCUAUUUCUUUCUUCAGAAUCAAAUUUAUAAUUUAAAAAAUACUGAUUAACAAAUAAAAUAUGUCAGAACCAGUAUUAAGUAGCAAUCUUUAAAGGGUCAUCAUGCCUCUUAUUCAUAUGGCUAGCGUUUUUUUCCUUUUUGUUUUGUUUUGUUUUUGUUGUAAAAUAAACUUGUUUUAAUUCCUUGUCAACUCCUAGUUACGAUAAGUGUUUUGUCAUAUAUCUACCAAAGGUCUGGAUAAACCAGUCUGUUACUACGAUAAUCUACUAUAUUGAAAAUGGUGUUUUCUCUAACAUACUCUAUAAAUUGGGUACCUGAGUUGUCCGUUAAAGAAUAAACCUAACAGCCUUGUGAAACUUCAAGUAAGAAUAAGCACUUUUACCACAGUGCAGCUUAAAACCUGUAAUUAUCGAAGCACUUCACCCAUACUGCAGCCUAAAACCUGUAAUUAUUGACGUGUCAAGUCAGGCAAUCUGUUGGAUGUAUUUGCACAUCGAAGUUUUAUUCAGUUUGAUAUAAACUAAAUUUAUGUUUUGCGUAGAUCAAUAAAAAUGAUUCCUUUAGAUGUUAUUCAUUACAAUGUUUAAAUUUACAAAGACGGACCACAGCUGUUUUUUAAUUCACAUUUGCGUUAUUAAUUUGUUGUUUAAAUGUAUUAGAUUAAAUCGUCACUCGUGCUUCGUAUGAUUUUCCAUGUUUUCCACGUAUGUGUUCAAACAAAUUGGCAUUAUGGUAUUUCGAAGAUUUAGAUCGGUAUAACAAUAAAGUUAAUAGCUUAGUGAUUUUGUCAUGAGCUUGUUUUUGUGUCGAGGAAAGAAAUCACUUACAAGUAAUUAUUACAAUUUUGCCAAUUAACAUUACAAUAUGUAUUACAUAAACUGAAUUCAAAAAGAAAAACGUCAUUUCUAUUUUCUUAUCAUUUGAACGAAUAUUUCGCCUUCGUUUGUAAAAAUGUUUGCUCUCAGUGAUGAUGUAAAAUGAACUAAAACAAACCAGAGUUAGCUCAAAGCAAAGUUUGACUUCAGUUGACAGUGUUUUACAAGUAUAAAACUGCAGUAAUCGGCUACUGAGUACAAAUUAAUGUGUCGAAAUGCCAAGGAAAUGCAGUAACAAAAAACCUCUUGACUCAAAAGAUACCUGUCUUACCAUUCAUGCCAGUACAAUAUAAUUAAGCGACAGGCCUUCCAAACAUUCCUGCAGAACGCCAGGUCAUCAGAAAUGUAAACAAGACAAUAGAGUCAAAAGCUCCGAAAUCCUAGAAAAAAAACUCGCUUGGUGAGUUGGAUAAGAGCUCAAAAUGGUUUAUUGUAUUUUCAAAAUACGUCUUAAAAAUUAGAUGAAAGGAAAGGGUUCCAUAAUAGAAGAGUUACUCAGCCAAUUAAAGAACCGAAUCUGACAAAAGGCGAGGUUUUCAUUUUCAGAAUAGCUGGGUUUGCUCAUAUUGGCCGAGGUUCUCUUCUUAUCGGGACGAUUAAUAUCAGCAAGGGAUUCAAUGUCAUUAUGCGUCAAAUAAUAUACAGUUAGUCAACACUUUGAAACCUUAUUAUUUUUCAGUCAUGCAGAAAUAAAUGUCACUAGUUGCAUUUUCUUUGAUUUUCGGAAGGAAAACUUUUUUUUCGCAAAAUUUUGAAAUAUUGAAGGCUUUUUUUUCAUGUGAUAUCUUUACUACACAUGAUACGUUACUAUUAAAGUAAAUGUGUUUUUCUGAUACAUGUAUCAUAUUCAUUCUAAUUAUGAAAUAUUAUAAUCAGAUAGAUUUGCAAUUCCCUAAGGGAAUCGUGUAUUAAACUUAAUGAAAUUGUAUCGAUUAAACUAGAAACAAUUGAGAUGUUGUUUAAUAUAGUAUCUAUUAAUCUUGUUUGUGAUGUUUUGCAUUGUAAUUAGUGAUUUGUUAAGUGCCUUAUUCUUCUAUUGUUUAGAAUUAUGUAAAUACACAAGAGAGUUUAAGAUUUCAUUGUACUCGUUAAGAUUUGUGUAGGUACACAGAAAGUACAAGAAAAAGGUUUAAAAUGUACAUUUUCAACCUGAAGGUAAAGAAGCAAGCUAAUUGCUUCCAAAUUCCAUCGACGCCUUUUAUAAUAUAUACUCCAUCGCGUACCUGUACGAGUACACACAUGAGGUCUCAACCUUUAGACUACGAAUUUCAAGGUAGAACGACAUUUUUUCAACUUGUACCAAAGCGUCCAUUACAAUUUUGAUAUUGUUUCGAUGUUAUGAAAUGUUUCCUAUCUAUUAUUAAUAUUUAUUAUAGAAUUUCUUCUACUUUCUGAGUACGUUUUUAUUCAAAAGUCGGUAUUUUCAAACUUUGGUGGCUUCAUCUCGUUUUUGUGUGUGUUGUAAACGUGUACAGUUUACGUUUUGUUUGUAAUGUUUGUUUUCGUUUAUUAUUGUUUAAUUAUUUUUGUUUUUUAUUGGAUGAAUUAAGAUAAACUUAUAUUAACUUUCAAGUCAACUAGAUAUUCUCCCUAUGUUUAUCUAAUGAAACAUAGUUAUAAACUUUCAAUGUUAAUUGUGUGAUAAAACGAUGUGUUUUGUAUUAUCAGUAUGUCAAAAUCUACAGUGUAAAUAAAACAAAAUGAAACGAAA